rnacentral:lncRNA from 13 species
AUGUUCAGGGAAGCUAAAGCUGGACUGCAACCCAGAGACUUCACCCCGAGACUCCACCCAGCUUCUCUACCCCUGGAAGACUUCAUCCAACAGUGGCAGUGCUGCCCUCUUCUUAGGCUUGAGCUUAGUGCUCAGCUUUCCAAAACAGGACAUCCCAUCAUUUUGGGAUACAUAAAAAGGAAGCAAAGCCAUUUGGACGGCAUGGAAACAAUGCACACCCAAGUGGCAGGGAAAGGAGAGGAUGCCCAUCGUGUUGAUCAGACUCAGCUGCUAGAAGACUCACUGGCACUCUGAGAAGUCGGCAGCAGAGCAGCACCCAGCCACACAUGAGCAUUAAGCACUGGAGAAGAAUGAGCUAGACUCAUUCAAG